UACCCGCUGAAUUUAAGCAUAUCAGUAAGCGGAGGAAAAGAAACUAACCAGGAUUCUCCUAGUAACGGCGAGUGAACGGAGAUUAGCCCAGCGCAGAAGCCUAUCCGCUAUUGUGGACAGGGCAAUGUUGCGUUUAAGCAUUAACCUGGAAAUACUCAUCUACUCGAAGUCCAACUCCGAUUAUGGCUUUGGAUUUGUUCCAUAGAGGGUGGAAGGCCCGUACGGGUGGAUUGAGUGUUUUCAGUUGUUUUUGCUUGGAGUCGGAUUUUUUGUGAGGGCACCCCCGUAUUUUAGAAGC
rnacentral:rRNA from 1 species